UAUGGCCACAUCACGUUGAAACACCCGUUCCCGUACUAUUACCGAAGUUAAGUAGCAUCGAAACUGGUCAGUACUUAAAUGGGUAACGGCUUGGGAAUACCAGGUUCUGUAAG